rnacentral:pre_miRNA from 1 species
AAGGAGCUCACAGUCUAUUGAGUUGCCUUCCUGACUUUCUCACUAGAUUGUGAGCUCCUGGA